rnacentral:rRNA from 1 species
AUUGAACGCUGGCGGCAGGCCUAACACAUGCAAGUCGAACGAGUGGCGGACGGGUGAGUAAUGUCUGGGAAACUGCCUGAUGGAGGGGGAUAACUACUGGAAACGGUAGCUAAUACCGCAUACCAUCGGAUGUGCCCAGAUGGGAUUAGCUAGUAGGUGGGGUAAAGGCUCACCGAGGCGACGAUCCCUAGCUAGUCUGAGAGGAUGACCAGCCACACUGGAGCUGAGCCACGGUCCAGACUCCUACGGGAGGAAGUAGUGGGGAAUAUUGCGCAAUGGGCGCAAGCCUGAAGCAGCCAUGCCGCGUGUAUGAAGAAGGCCUGCGGGUUGUAAAGUACUUUCAGCGGGGAGGCGUUACCCGCAGAAGAAGCACCGGCUAACUCCGUGCCAGCCGCCGCGGUAAUUC